AGGAGCGAAAGGGUGGGGAGCAAACAGGCUUAGAUACCCUGGUAGUCCACCCCGUAAACGUUGGGAACUAGUUGUGGGGUCCAUUCCACGGAUUCCGUGACGCAGCUAACGCAUUAAGUUCCCCGCCUGGGGAGUACGGCCGCAAGGCUAAAACUCAAAGGAAUUGACGGGGACCCGCACAAGCGGCGGAGCAUGCGGAUUAAUUCGAUGCAACGCGAAGAACCUUACCAAGGCUUGACAUAUACGAGAACGCUGCAGAAAUGUAGAACUCUUUGGACACUCGUAAACAGGUGGUGCAUGGUUGUCGUCAGCUCGUGUCGUGAGAUGUUGGGUUAAGUCCCGCAACGAGCGCAACCCUCGUUCUAUGUUGCCAGCACGUAAUGGUGGGAACUCAUGGGAUACUGCCGGGGUCAACUCGGAGGAAGGUGGGGAUGACGUCAAAUCAUCAUGCCCCUUAUGUCUUGGGCUUCACGCAUGCUACAAUGGCCGGUACAAAGGGCUGCAAUACCGUGAGGUGGAGCGAAUCCCAAAAAGCCGGUCCCAGUUCGGAUUGAGGUCUGCAACUCGACCUCAUGAAGUCGGAGUCGCUAGUAAUCGCAGAUCAGCAACGCUGCGGUGAAUACGUUCCCGGGUCUUGUACACACCGCCCGUCAAGUCAUGAAAGUCGGUAACACCUGAAGCCGGUGGCCCAACCCUUGUGGAGGGAGCCGUCGAAGGUGGGAUCGGUAAUUAGGACUAAGUCG
rnacentral:rRNA from 1 species